GGUGUAGAGACUCCUGUGUGUCUCUAGGGGGCGCUAACAACGACGAGCAGAGCCAGAGGAGUUAGAAAAAGCCAGCAGGACGUGAUGAUGGUGGCGGCUCCUCCUUUGGUGGUUGGGCCUCGGCUUUCGGCAGGCUUGGUGGUGAUGUUAGGGCUGCUUGCAGCUGAUGAACUGCUACUUGUAACUGUAGUCUGUGCAGUCUGACAACUGAUACACAGAUGUCAGCAUGAGAAAGUUUCUCAAACAGUUCUGACCCAGAUCAACCACAGAGGGCAUCCUGACCGACAGGAUAACAGUUUUUGCAAAGCACCAGCCUAUUUUACAGACCUUUCUAACAUUAAAACUAGUCAGAAAGACGUAAGAGUGAUGUUAA